rnacentral:rRNA from 1 species
GUGUCAGCAGCCGCGGUAAUACGUAGGUGGCAAGCGUUGUCCGGAAUUAUUGGGCGUAAAGCGCGCGCAGGCGGUUAUGUAAGUCUGAUGUUAAAGCCCGGGGCUCAACCUCGGUCCGCAUUGGAAACUGUGUAACUUGAGUGCAGAAGAGGAAAGUGGUAUUCCACGUGUAGCGGUGAAAUGCGUAGAGAUGUGGAGGAACACCAGUGGCGAAGGCGACUUUCUGGUCUGUAACUGACGCUGAGGCGCGAAAGCGUGGGGAGCAAACAGGAUUAGAUACCCUGGUAGUCCACGCCGUAAACGAUGAGUGCUAGGUGUUGGGGGUUUCAAUACCCUCAGUGCCGCAGCUAACGCAAUAAGCACUCCGCCUGGGGAGUACGCUCGCAAGAGUGAA